rnacentral:tRNA from 1 species
GGCUGUAGUUCAGUUGGUAGAGCAACGGUCUCCAAAACCGUCUGUCGCGGGUUCAAAUCCUGCCGGCC